rnacentral:rRNA from 1 species
CCUGCGGGGUCGCGGUUAAAGGUGCAAACCGCCGAGGGAGGGGCCCGCGGCCGAUUAGCUAGUUGGUGAUGUAACGGCUCACCAAGGCGACGAUCGGUAGCUGGUCUGAGAGGAUGAUCAGCCACACUGGUACUUAGACACGGACCAGACUCCUACGGGAGGCAGCAGUGGGGAAUAUUGCGCAAUGGGCGAAAGCCUGACGCAGCAACGCCGCGUGGGUGAAGAAGGCCUUCGGGUCGUAAAGCUCUGUCUGGUGGGAAGAACCCUACCCUUGAGGUAGCUGACGGUACCACCGAAGGAAGCACCGGCUAACUCCGUGCCAGCAGCCGCGGUAAUACGGAGGGUGCAAGCGUUGUUCGGAAUCACUGGGCGUAAAGGGCGCGUAGGCGGCUUGCCAAGUCUGAUGUGAAAGCCCGGGGCUCAACCCCGGAAGUGCAUUGGAAACUGGCAGGCUUGAGUUCGGGAGAGGAGGGCAGAAUU